rnacentral:rRNA from 1 species
GAAUAUUGGACAAUGGGCGAAAGCCUGAUCCAGCAAUGCCGCGUGAGUGAAGAAGGCCUUAGGGUUGUAAAGCUCUUUCGGCGGGGACGAUGAUGACGGUACCCGCAGAAGAAGCCCCGGCUAACUCCGUGCCAGCAGCCGCGGUAAUACGGAGGGGGCAAGCGUUGUUCGGAGUUACUGGGCGUAAAGGGCGCGUAGGCGGUGCAGCUAGUCAGGCGUGAAAGCCCCGGGCUUAACCUGGGAAUUGCGCUUGAUACUGCUGCGCUAGAGAUCGGGAGAGGAUGGCGGAAUUCCCAGUGUAGAGGUGAAAUUCGUAGAUAUUGGGAAGAACACCGGUGGCGAAGGCGGCCAUCUGGACCGCAUCUGACGCUGAGACGCGAAAGCGUGGGGAGCAAACAGG